rnacentral:rRNA from 1 species
GAAUGGCACCACGAAGGUUAUACUGUCUCCUUUCCCCAAUCAGUGAAACUAAUCUCCCCGUGAAGAAGCGGGGAUAAGAAUAUAAGACGAGAAGACCCUAUGGAGCUUUAAACAACGCAGCAAUUGCUACCACUCUGAUGAACCUCCGAGUCUCUAAAUUACCUUAGCACUUUGACAGCAAGUUUUAGGUUGGGGUGACCGCGGAGUAUAACAUAACCUCCACGCUGAAAGAAUCUUAUUCUGAGCCGAGAGCUACUAUUCUAAGCACCAACAUACUGACAUCUAUUGACCCA